CUUUACUGUAACUUGAAAUUGAAAUUGGACUUUAUUUGCGCAGUAUAGGUGGGAGGCGUUGAGAGUAUUCUUGCGGGAAUAUUGGAGCCAUCAGUGAGAUACCACUCUUGUAAUGUUAGAUUUCUAACUUUGGAUCAUUAUCUGGUCAAAGGACAGUUUCAGGCGGGCAGUUUGACUGGGGCGGUCGCCUCCCAAACGGUAACGGAGGCGUACAAAGGUUUCCUCUGAACGGGUAGAAAUCGUAUCUAGAGUGUAAAGGCAUAAGGAAGCUUGACUGUGAGACCUACAAGUCGAGCAGGGACGAAAGUCGGUCUUAGUGAUCUGACGGUGCUGAGUGGAAAGGCCGUCACUCAACGGAUAAAAGUUA
rnacentral:rRNA from 1 species